UCCCACAUGUUCCACGAUGAUCUCAUCGGAUGAACCACGAUGUCAAGGACUCAAUCGAUCCCGUAUACAAUUCCCUUUGUCUAGCGGUAUUUUACUUGCCCGAGAUUCGAUCGUCGGUAUACCGAUACCUUGUUCAAUCUCGUUACCGGCAAGUCUCUUUACUCGUUCCGCAACACAUCAUCCCGUGAUCAACCCCUUGGUCACAUUGUGCACAUUAUGAUGAUGUACUACCGAGUGGGCCCAGAGAUACCUCUCCGUUUGCACGGAGUGACAAAUCCCAUUCUCGAUCCGUGUCAACCCAACAGACACUUUCGGAGAUACCUGUAGUGCACCUUUAUAGUCACCCAGUUACGUUGUGACGUUUGAUACACCCAAAGCACUCCUACGGUAUCCGGGAGUUACACGAUCUCAUGGUCUAAGGAAGAGAUACUUGACAUUAGAAAAGCUCUAGCAAACGAACUACACGAUCUUUGUGCUAUGCUUAGGAUUGGGUCUUGUCCAUCACAUCAUUCUCCUAAUGAUGUGAUCCCGUUAUCAACGACAUCCAAUGUCCAUAGCCAGGAAACCAUGACUAUCUGUUGAUCACAACAAGCUAGUCAACUAGAGGCUCACUAGGGACAUAUUGUGGUCUUUGUAUUCACACGUGUAUUAUGAUUUCCGGAUAAUACAGUUAUAGCAUGAAUAAAAGACAAUUAUCAUGAACAAGGAAAUAUAAUAAUACUUUUAUUAUUGCCUCUAGGGCAUAUUUCCAACAGUCUCCCACUUGCACUAGAGUCAAUAAUCUAGUUCACAUCGCCAUGUGAUCAACACUCACAGGUCACAUCGCCAUGUGACCAACAUCAUCAAAUGAGUUCUGGGGUUUGAUCAUGUUUUGCUUGUGAGAGAGGUUUUAGUCAACGGGUCUGAACCUUUCAGAUCCGUGUGUGCUUUGCAAAUAUCUAGGUCAUAUUGUAAACGCUGCUUCCACGCUCCACUUGGAGCUAUUCCAAAUGGUUGCUCCACUAUACGUAUCCGGUUUGCUACUCAGAGUCAUUCGGAUAGGUGUUGAAGCUUGCAUCGACGUAACCCUUUACGCCGAACUCUUUAUCACCUCCAUAAUCGAGAAACAUGUCCUUAUUUACUCCAAGGACAAUUUUGACCGCUGUCCAAUGAUCCAUUCCUGGAUCAUUCUUGUACCCCUUGACUGACUCAUGGCAAGGCACACUUAUGGUGCGGUACACAGCAUAGCAUACUAUAGAGCCUACGUCUGAAGUAUAGGGGACGACCUUCGUCCUUUCUCUCUCUUCUGCCGUGGUCGAGCUUUAACUCUUAACUUCAUACCUUACAUCUCAGGCAAGAACUCCUUCUUUGACUGAUCCAUCUUGAACACCUUCAAGAUCAUGUCAAGGUACGUGCUCAUUUGAAAGUACUAUUAAGCAUUUUGAUCUAUCUUAUAGAUCUUGAUGCUUAUUGUUCAAGUAGCCUAAUCCAGGUUUUCCAUUGAAAAACAUUUUUCAAAUAACCCUAUAUGCUUUCCAGAAAUUCUACAUCAUUUCUGAUCAACAAUAUGUCAAUAACAUAUACUCAUCAGAAAUUCUAUAGUGCUCCCACUCACUUCUUUGGAAAUACAAGUUUCUCAUAAACUUUUGUAUAAACCCAAAAUCUUUGAUCAUCUCAUCAAAACGUACAUUCCAACUCCGAGAUGCUUACUCCAGUCCUUAGAAGGAUCGCUGGAGCCAGCAUACCAUUUAGCAUCCUUAGGAUCGACAAAAACUUUCGGAUUGUAUCACAUACAACCUUUCCUUACGAAGAUUGGUGAGGAAACUCAUUUUGACAUCCAUCUGCCAGAUUUCAUAAAUGCAGCUAAUGCUAACAUGAUUUCGAUGGACUUAAGCAUCGCUACGGAUGAGAAAAUCUCAUCGUAGUCAACUCCUUGAACUUGUGAAAAAACCCUUCGCCACAAGUCGAGCUUCAUAGACGGUGACAUUACCGUCCACGUCCGUCUUCUUCUUAAAGAUCCAUUUAUCUCAAUGGCUUGCCGAUCAUCGGGCAAGUCCACCAAAGUCCAUGCUUUGUUCUGAUACAUGGAUCCUAUCUCGGAUUUCAUGGCUUCUAACCAUUUGUCGGAAUUUGGGCCCGCCAUUGCUUCUCCAUAGCUCGUAGGUUCAUUGUUGUCUAGCAACAUGACCUUCAAGACAUGAUUACUGUACCACUCUGAAGCAGUACGCAUCCUUGUCACCCUACGAGGUACGGUAGUGACUUGAUCCGAAGUUUCAUGAUCACUAUCAUAAGCUUCUACUUCAAUUGGUGUAGGUGCCACAGGAACAACUUCCUGUGCCCUGCUACACACUAGUUGUAGUGACGGUUCAAUAACCAUAUCAAGUCUCCACCAUCCUCCCACUCAACUUUUCGAGACAAACUUUUCCUCGAGAAAGGACCCGCUUCAAGAAACAAUCCUUAUUGCUUUCGGAUCUGAAUUAGGAGGUAUACCUAACUGUUUUGGGUGUCCUAUGAAGAUGCAUUUUAUCCGCUUUGGGUUCGAGCUUAUCAACCUGAAAUUUUUUCCACAUAAGCGUCGCAGCCCCAAACCUUUAAGAAAUGACAGCUUAGGUUUCUCUAAACCAUAGUUCAUACGGUGUCAUCUCAACGGAGUUACAUGGUGCCCUCUUUAAAGUGAAUGUGGUUGUCUCUAAUGCCUAACCCAUAAACGAUAGUGGUAAUUCGAUAAGAGACAUCAUGGUACGCACCAUAUCCAAUAGGGUGCAACUAUGAUGUUCGGACACACCAUCAAACUAUGGUGUUCCAGGCGGUAUUAAUUGUGAAACAAUUUCCACAAUGUCUUAAUUGCGUGCCAAAGCUCGUAACUCAGAUACUCAUCUCUGUGAUCAUAUCAUAGACAUUUCAUCCUCUUGUCACGAUGAUCUUCAACUUCACUCUGAAAUUACUUGAACCAUUCAAUAAUUCAGACUUGUGCUUCAUUAAGUAAAUAUACUCUACAUAUACUCGAAUCAUCUGUGAAGUAAGAACAUAACGAUAUUCACUGCAUGCCUCAGCACUCAUUGGACUGCACACAUCAAAAUGUGUUACUUCCAACAAGUUGCUAUCUUGUUCCAUUUUACUGAAACACGAGGCUUUUUAAUCAUCUUGCCCAUGUGGUAUGAUUUGCAUAUCUCAAGUGAUUCAAAAUCAAGUGAGUCCAAACGAUCCAUCUGCAUGGAGUUUCUUCAUGCGUAUACACCAAUAGACAUGGUUCGCAUGUCUGAAACUUUUCAAAAAUGAGUGAGUCCAAGGAUCCAUCAACAUGGAGCUUCUUUAUGCGUUUUACACCAAUAUGACUUACAUGGCAGUGCCACAAGUAAAUGGUACUAUCAUUACUAUCUUAUAUCUUUUGGCAUGAAAAUGUGUAUCACUAUGAUCGAGAUUCAAUAAACUAUUCCUUUAGGUGCAAGACCAUUGAAGGUAUUAUUCAAAUAAAUAGAGUAACCAUUAUUCUCCUUAAAUGAAUAACCGUAUUGCGACAGACAUAAUCCAAUCAUGUCUAUGCUCAACGCAAACACCAAAUCUCGAUGGUAGAGGGAGCGUGCGAUGCUUGAUCACAUCAACCUUGGAAACUCUUCCAACACAUAUCGUCAGCUCACCUUUAGCUAGUCUCCGUUUAUUCCGUAGCUUUUAUUUCGAGUUACUAACACUUAGCAACCGAACCGGUAUCUAAUACCCUGGUGCUACUAGGAGUACUAGUAAAGUACACAUUAACAUAAUGUAUAUCCAAUAUACUUCUAUCGACCUUGCCAGCCUUCUCAUCUACCAAGUAUCUAGGGUAAUUCCGCUCUAGUGACUAUUCCCCUUAUCACAGAAGCACUUAGUCUCGGGUUUGGGUUCAACCUUGGGUUUCUUCACUGGAGCAGCAGCUGAUUUGCCGUUUCAUGAAGUAUCCCUUCUUGCCCUUUCCCUUCUUGAAACUAGUGGUUUCACCAACCAUCAACAAUUGAUGCUCCUUCUUGAUUUCUACUUUCGCGGUGUCAAACAUCGUGAAUACCUCAAGGAUCAUCAUAUCUAUCCCUGAUAUGUUAUAGUUCAUCACGAAGCUCUAGCAGCUUGGUGGCAAUGACUUUGGAGAAACAUCACUAUCUCAUCUGGAAGAUCAACUCCCACUUGAUUCAAGUGAUUGUCGCACUCAGACAAUCUAAGCACAAGCUCAACGAUUGAGCUUUUCUCCCUUAGUUUGUCGGCUAAGAAAAUCGACAGAGGUCUCAUACCUCUUGACGUGGGCACGAGCCUGAAAUCCCAAUUUCAGCCCUCGAAACAUCUCAUAUGUUCCGCGACGUUUCGAAAACGUCUUUGGUGCCUCAACUCUAAACUGUUUAACUGAACUAUCACGUAGUUAUCAAAACGUGCAUGUCUGAUGUUCGCAACAUCCACAAACGAUGUUUGGGGUUCAGCACAAUGAGCAGUGCAUUAAGGACAUGAGCUUUCUACUGUCCGCAUAAUCGCUACUGUCAACUUUCAACUAUAUUUUCUCUAGGAACAUAUCUAAACAGUGGAACUAAAGCGCGAGCUUACGACAUAAUUUGCAAAGAUCUUUUGACUAUGUUCAGGAUAAUUAAGUUCAUCUUAUGAACUCUCACUCAGAUAGACAUCCCUCUGGUCAUCUAAGUGAUUACAUGAUCCAAGUCAACUAGGCCGUGUCCGAUCAUCACGUGAGACGGACUAGUCAUCAUCGGUGAACAUCUUCAUGUUGAUCGUAUCUACUAUACGACUCAUGCUCGACCUUUCGGUCUCCGUGUUCCGAGGCCAUGUCUAUACAUGCUAGGCUCGUCAAGUUAACCCUAAGUGUUUUCGCUGUGUAAAACUAUCUUACACCCGUUGUAUGUGAACGUAAGAAUCCAUCACACCCGAUCAUCACGUGGUGCUUAGAAGCGACGAACUGUAGCAACGGUGCACAGUUAGGGGAGAACACUUCUUGAAAUUUUGUAAGGGAUCAUCUUAUUUACUACCGUCGUCCUAAGUAAACAAGAUGCAUAAACAUGAUAAACAUCACAUGCAAUCAAAUAGUGACAUGAUAUGGCCAAUAUCAUUUUGCUCCUUUUGAUCUCCAUCUUCGGGGCUCCAUGAUCAUCAUCGUCACCGGCAUGACACCAUGAUCUCUAUCAUCAUGAUCUCCAUCAUCGUGUCUUCAUGAAGUUGUCUCGCCAACUAUUACUUCUACUACUAUGGCUACCGGUUAGCAAUAAAGUAAAGUAAUUACAUGGCAUUGUUCAAUGACACGCAGGUCAUACAAUAAAUCAAGACAACUCCUAUGGCUCCUGCCGGUUGUCAUACUCAUCGACAUGCAAGUCGUGAUUCCUAUUACAAGAACAUGAUCAAUCUCAUACAUCACAUAUCAUUCAUCACAUUCUUCUUGGCCAUAUCACAUCACAUAGCAUACCCUGCAAAAACAAGUUAGACGUCCUCUAGUUGUUGUUUGCAUGUUUUACGUGGCUGCUAUGGGUUUCUAGCAAGAACGUUUCUUACCUACGCAAAAACACAACGUGAUGUGCCAAUUGCUAUUUACCCUUCAUAAGGACCCUUUUCAUCGAAUCCGUUCCGACUAAAGUGGGAGAGACUGGCACCCGCUAGCCACCUUAUGCACGAAGUGCAUGUCAAUCGGUGGAACCUGUCUCACGUAAGAGUACGUGUAAGGUCGGUCCGGGCCGCUUCAUCCCACAAUACCGUCGAAACGAGAUUGGACUAGUAACGGUAAGCAUAUUGAACAACAUCAACGCCCACAACUACUUUGUGUUCUACUCGUGCAAAGAAUCUACGCAAUAGACCUAGCUCAUGAUGCCACUGUUGGGGAACGUAGCAGAAAUUCAAAAUUUUCCUAUGUGUCACCAAGAUCUAUCUAUGGAGAAACCAGCAACGAGGGGAAGGAGAGUGCAUCUACAUACCCUUGUAGAUCGCUAAGCGGAAGCGUUCAAGAGAACGGGGUUGAAGGAGUCGUACUCGUCGUGAUCCAAAUCACCGGAGAUCCUAGUGCCGAACGGACGGCACCUCCGCGUUCAACACACGUACAGCCCGGUGACGUCUCCCACGCCUUGAUCCAGCAAGGAGAGAGGGAGAGGUUGAGGAAGACUCCAUCCAGCAGCAGCACAACGGCAUGGUGGUGAUGGAGGAGCGUGGUAGUCCAGCAGGGCUUCGCCAAGCACCGCGAGAUAUGAGGAGAAGGGAGAGAGGUAUGGCUGCGCCAACAGGAGAAGAAACUCAUGUAUUGGGCUGCUCCUAUGCCUCCAAUAUAUAUAGGGGCAGAGGGGGCUGCGCCCCCACCUAGGUUUCCACCCUAGGGGGCGGCGGUCAGCCCUAGAUCCCAUCUAGGGGGGCGGCCAAGGGGUGGAGAGGGGGAAACUUGCCCCCCAAGCAAGGUGGGGCGCCCCCUCCCCAAACCCUAGGCGCCUUGGGCCUUGGUGGGAGGGCGCACCAGCCCACCUGGGGCUGGUCCCCUCUCACACUUGGCCCAUGCAGCCCUCUGGGGCCGGUGGCCCCACUUGGUGGACCCCCGGGACCCUCCCGAUGGUCCCGGUACGUUACCGAUAAAACCCGAAACUUUUCCGGUGACCAAAACAGGACUUCCCAUAUAUAAAUCUUUACCUCCGGACCAUUCCGGAACUCCUCGUGACGUCCGGAAUCUCAUCCGGGACUCCGAACGACAUUCGGUAACCACAUACAAGCUUCCUUUAUAACCCUAGCGUCAUCGAACCUUAAGUGUGUAGACCCUACGGGUUCGGGAGACAUGUAGACAUGACCGAGACAUUCUCCGGUCAAUAACCAACAGCGGGAUCUGGAUACCCAUGUUGGCUCCCACAUGUUCCACGAUGAUCUCAUCGGAUGAACCACGAUGUCAAGGACUCAAUCGAUCCCGUAUACAAUUCCCUUUGUCUAGCGGUAUUUUACUUGCCCGAGAUUCGAUCGUCGGUAUACCGAUACCUUGUUCAAUCUCGUUACCGGCAAGUCUCUUUACUCGUUCCACAACACAUCAUCCCGUGAUCAACCCCUUGGUCACAUUGUGCACAUUAUGAUGAUGUACUACCGAGUGGACCCAGAGAUACCUCUCCGUUUGCACGGAGUGACAAAUCCCAGUCUCGAUCCGUGUCAACCCAACAGACACUUUCGGAGAUACCUGUAGUGCACCUUUAUAGUCACCCAGUUACAUUGUGACGUUUGAUACACCCAAAGCACUCCUACGGUAUCCGGGAGUUACACGAUCUCAUGGUCUAAGGAAGAGAUACUUGACAUUAGAAAAGCUCUAGCAAACGAACUACACGAUCUUUGUGCUAUGCUUAGGAUUGGGUCUUGUCCAUCACAUCAUUCUCCUAAUGAUGUGAUCCCGUUAUCAACGACAUCCAAUGUCCAUAGCCAGGAAACCAUGACUAUCUGUUGAUCACAACGAGCUAGUCAACUAGAGGCUCACUAGGGACAUAUUGUGGUCUUUGUAUUCACACGUGUAUUACGAUUUCCGGAUAAUACAAUUAUAGCAUGAAUAAAAGACAAUUAUCA
rnacentral:lncRNA from 1 species